CUCGUAGGCGGUUCGUCGCGUCCGGUGUGAAAGUCCAUCGCUUAACGGUGGAUCCGCGCCGGGUACGGGCGGGCUUGAGUGCGGUAGGGGAGACUGGAAUUCCCGGUGUAACGGUGAAAUGCGUAGAUAUCGGGAGGAACAUCGGUGGCGAAGGCGGGUAACUGGACUGCAACUGACGCUGAGGCGCGAAAGUGUGGGGAGCAAACA
rnacentral:rRNA from 1 species